rnacentral:rRNA from 1 species
UACAGAGGGUGCGAGCGUUGUUCGGAAUUACUGGGCGUAAAGCGCGCGUAGGUGGUGUGUUAAGUCCACUCGUGAAAUGCUGGGGCUCAACCCCAUGCGCUGCGGGGGAUACUGGCACGCUGGAGACACGUAGAGGCAAGCGGAAUUCCGGGUGUAGCGGUGGAAUGCGUAGAGAUCCGGAAGAACACCGGAGGCGAAGGCGGCUUGCUGGGCGUGAUCUGACGCUGAGACGCGAAAGCGUGGGGAGCGAACAGG